CAGUCGCCGCGGGAAUACGUAGGUCCCGAGCGUUGUCCGGAUUUAUUGGGCGUAAAGGGAGCGCAGGCGGUUUCUUAAGUCUGAUGUGAAAGCCCCCGGCUCAACCGGGGAGGGUCAUUGGAAACUGGGAAACUUGAGUGCAGAAGAGGAGAGUGGAAUUCCACGUGUAGCGGUGAAAUGCGUAGAGAUGUGGAGGAACACCAGUGGCGAAGGCGACUCUCUGGUCUGUAACCGACGCUGAGGAGCGAAAGCGUGGGGAGCGAACAGGAUUAGAUACCCGCGUAGUCCCUGUCUCUUAUAC
rnacentral:rRNA from 1 species